rnacentral:rRNA from 1 species
AGCGAACGCUGGCGGCAGGCUUAACACAUGCAAGUCGAACGGGCGUAGCAAUACGUCAGUGGCAGACGGGUGAGUAACGCGUGGGAACGUACCUUUUGGUUCGGAACAACCCAGGGAAACUUGGGCUAAUACCGGAUAAGCCCUUACGGGGAAAGAUUUAUCGCCGAAAGAUCGGCCCGCGUCUGAUUAGCUAGUUGGUGAGGUAACGGCUCACCAAGGCAACGAUCAGUAGCUGGUCUGAGAGGAUGAUCAGCCACAUUGGGACUGAGACACGGCCAAACUCCUACGGGAGGCAGCAGUGGGGAAUAUUGGACAAUGGGCGCAAGCCUGAUCCAGCCAUGCCGCGUGAGUGAUGAAGGCCCUAGGGUUGUAAAGCUCUUUUACCCGGGAAGAUAAUGACUGUACCGGGAGAAUAAG